GAGGCAGGCCCUGCAGGAACAGGAUGGGCUGCAGGACAAGAUCAACGACCAGGGAGCCAAGAACGCUCAGGCCGUGGAGGAGAGGCGGCGGCUGGAGGCUCGCGUCGCCCUGCUGGAGGAGGAGCAGAAGGAGGCGCAGUGCACGGGGG